GCCCAAUUUCGCACGUGCCUGUGGUCGUGUGUCAGUCGGUGGGUAUCCGGACAAGAGGCCGGACAGCCGCCAAGGGUGAAGUGGCCGAGGGUCGCUCAGUCGAUCGAGACUGAGAGGCCAGCAUCUCUCUCCAGGGAUGCCAUUGAAGGCGCUUUAUUCCUUGCAACCGUGACUGGCAGCCGGAGGCGAACCGGUGCACCCCGCUCUCAACGGGGGACGCGACUUAAAGCAACGACGGAUCGGGCUUUU
rnacentral:sRNA from 1 species